GGAUGAACGCUAGCUACAGGCUUAACACAUGCAAGUCGAGGGGCAGCGAUGAAGAAAGCUUGCUUUCUUCAGGCGGCGACCGGCGCACGGGUGAGUAACGCGUAUCGAACCUGCCUCAUACUCAGGAAUAGCCUUGCGAAAGUAAGAUUAAUGCCCGAUGUUAUUAGGAUAUCACAUGAUGUUUUAAUUAAAGAUUUAUCGGUAUGAGAUGGCGAUGCGUCCCAUUAGUUUGUUGGCGGGGUAACGGCCCACCAAGACAUCGAUGGGUAGGGGUUCUGAGAGGAAGGUCCCCCACAUUGGAACUGAGACACGGUCCAAACUCCUACGGGAGGCAGCAGUGAGGAAUAUUGGUCAAUGGACGCAAGUCUGAACCAGCCAAGUAGCGUGCAGGAAGACGGCCCUCUGGGUUGUAAACUGCUUUUAGUUGGGAAUAAAGUGCAUCACGUGUGAUGUUUUGUAUGUACCAUCAGAAAAAGGACCGGCUAAUUCCGUGCCAGCAGCCGCGGUAAUACGGAAGGUCCAGGCGUUAUCCGGAUUUAUUGGGUUUAAAGGGAGCGCAGGCGGACCUUUAAGUCAGCUGUGAAAUACGGCGGCUCAACCGUCGAACUGCAGUUGAUACUGGAGGUCUUGAGUGCACACAGGGAUACUGGAAUUCAUGGUGUAGCGGUGAAAUGCUCAGAUAUCAUGAAGAACUCCGAUCGCGAAGGCAGGUAUCCGGGGUGCAACUGACGCUGAGGCUCGAAAGUGCGGGUAUCAAACAGGAUUAGAUACCCUGGUAGUCCGCACAGUAAACGAUGAAUACUCGCGAUUUGCGAUACACAGUAAGUCGCCAAGCGAAAGCGUUUAGUAUUCCACCUGGGGAGUACGCCGGCAACGGUGAAACUCAAAGGAAUUGACGGAAGGG
rnacentral:rRNA from 1 species